rnacentral:lncRNA from 1 species
AGAAUACAAAGUUUUCCCUUGUUAUUGGAAAAAUGAAUUAUAUUUUCACUUGAAAAGAGGAAAGCACAUUUUCUACCCUUAGUCAGAACCAUCUGCUAAGAACACUGAGAAAUCAACUUUGGAUAGGUGAAAUUUAAAGGUGAGAAAAGGCACUGGUUUUGGUCCUCUGUUCAUUUUACAUGUAGCAUUUUCCUUUUUCUUUCUUAUCUCUAUUUUACCAUAUUUUAUCAACUCAGAGUUAAUUUCUACAACAGUAAUCUACUUAUUAGCAAAUCUCAAUGACACUGUGUUUUUUUGUUUUGUUUUGUUUUGUUUUGCUCUUUAGGGCUGCAUCCACAUCAUAUUCAGGUUCCCAGGCUAGGGGUCAAAUCAGAGCUGUAGCUGCUGGCCUACACCACAGACAUAGCAACACUGGAUCCGAGCUGUGUCUGUGAACUACACCACAGCUCAUGGCAACGCCAGAUUUUUAACCCACUGAGCAAGGCCAGGGAUCAAACCCACAACCUCAUGGUUCCUAGUCAGAUACGUUUUGCUGCACCACGAUGGGAACUCCCACAGUGACACUGUUUUGAUUACAAAAAGGCCAUGGUUUGUUGUGGGGAAUGGGAACAUACUAAGUAGUUACAAUGAAAUGCAGUUUUUAUAAAAAUCAUGAACAUUUGUAGGAUCAAAUAAUAUAAACUACUAUGUAACAAUGGUUCAGCUUUGUUUGAGUGAGACAAUCUGGUUCACAUCCCAGCCAGAACACCUGAAGCUGUGUGAUUAGAGGCAAGAUCCGAUCUUCAGGUUUCUCAUUAAAUUUUCGAUCCAUUUUACAAACUAAAGACCCUAGUCCCUACCUCAUGGUGUUACUAUGAGAAUUAAAAUUUAAAAAGCAGUUACCUCACUGUCAUAUAAACUCAGUUAUUCACAUGGAAAAUAAUUAUCAAUUAUACAAUUAUCUUUUGACUUUUGGGGAAGGGUAGAAAACUACAUUUUGUUUUUUGCCUAUUGUACUCUACAAGAGAUUAUAUCAUCAAACUUAGAUUAAACAAACUCAUAUGCACUGUUUUACAUCUUUGGUAAUAAAAGCUAAUUAAUACUAAAUGCUAAUGAGGAUGGUAAUAUUUUUCACUCCAUUUUCUUAGUUUCUCAGGGAGACAAAUUGUUUUACAAAAACCUUACAGUUAAAUAUUACUUGACAAACGUGGGCCUUCUGCUACAAAAAUUCUGAGACAAAGCAUAAGUUCGAGACUUUCACACAAACACAUAAAAAUAAAAUGAGAUACUUUACUUUUGGUCAGGGAGAGACAUUUGGCAACUGUUUCCAGAUCUGUUGUCUAUUACAUUGUCACAUAGUUUAUGAUUAAAAUAUGUGUGGCUAUGUGAUUGCUUUUAUGAAUAUAAUUUUAUUUUAAAUUAUAUAUGUAAAAUCAAUCAUAUAACACAUACUAUAUAUAUAUGUAUAAAAAUAGCAAAGCAGAUUAUGUUAUACUGUGUUUAUUUUAGGGUUCCUUAAUACUAUGUAGAAAAAAUUUAAAUGUUCUCAGUGAAAAGAGGAUACAUGUAAUCUAGUCACAGACGCCCUUGAUUUCAAACUCCUUUGAGCUCCUUAAUCUUGUGCAAAUUAUUAAAUCUCAAUCUUUGUACCCUCGUCUAUAAAAUAGAUUGUAUAUCUAUCAUAUUUAAAUCUUAACUGAGAAAAUGUGCAAAAGUGACAGACACAAAAAUAGGAACCCCAAAACACAUGUUUUUUUUGUUUCAAGUAUAUGUUGUUUUGAGGUAAUAAGAAAUGUUUAAGCAAGGAAUCUUUGGUAUAGAUAAGAAGAAGGCAUCAAAAAUAAACAGUAGUUAAAAAAGAAGUAUGCUAGAGAAACCAGAUAAAACUCGGACAUGUCAGCAUGGCAUUUUUAAGGAAGAGUGGAAUGAGAAGGCAAUUAGUAGAGUAAUAUACACAACAUAAUAUAUUAUCUAUUUUUAUGGUGAAAUUGAAGGAAGUCAAGAAUGAGGCAGCAGUACUCUGGGUAGGUGAUCAGAGAUGAAGAUCUUGUCAAGAGAGCAUUACUUAGAGCCCUUUCUCGUUGCUCUAGAAAUGUGACCCUUUACCCCACAAUUUAUUAUGAUGUAAUAAUGAGAAAAACAUAGAAGCAAGCUAAUUCACAAUUGCUUUGCCAUUGGCGUGGUUAGCUACAUAAUGAGGGAAUUUUUGGGAAAGGGUUACAAGGUGGUUGGACCUUCAGACAAAGAAUGGGACUAAAGGAGACCUCUGAAUUAAGUAAAAAAGAAUAAACCUGAACCUGCCUAGGUACUGCAAUUCUGUUGGUUUUCCUAAUGACUCUGAUUUAAUAUUCAUAGGUAAUAAAUGAUUUUUCUAUCUCUGUUUUCUGCCAUGUUUUAAUUCCUGCUAUAAAUCUUGGGAGGGAAUCAUGUAUAGGAAAAACUUAAGCUCAUUUCCUUAUGCCCUACCCAAGUGCCUGCAAAGUAAAACAUUCAUAAAUGCAUUGGUCAUCUCUACAGUGAUAAUCACCCAGAAGGAGCAGAAAAAGGAUUCCUUACUAAAACAAUAGCAUCGUUACCUCCAAGUCAUAAAGAUUAUCUAUUAAUUAAAUCUUAUCUUUAUUGUGGGGUAUCACCACUGAAGUUUAAAGACGUUAAGUAACAUACUUAAGGGACAUAGAGUAAAUAACUGGUGGAUUCAGAUCUCAGGCUCAAUCUUCAUAGUGUGUUAUUUUGUCUAUACCACUGUAUCUGUUUGUGAAAAAGCACUUUAGUUUGUUCAAAAUUAAAUAUUCCCCAGGGGAAAAAUACUUAAUUUUUAUUAAACUAAAGUUAUGAACUUUCAUAAUUUGUCUAUCAUAGAACAGAGAUCCAGGCUUAAAGAGAAUUUAAACCAUAUACUUCCCCAAAUCACAGAGAUUUUUAAUGCAUGAGUUCAAAAAGCCACUUUUUUGGAACUCUAUGGGGAUUAACCAUUUGAAUAAAAUUCUCUAAUUUUCUCUAAUAUUUCUUUUCUCUUGAAAAUAUUUUGAUAUAAGGGUUAGGAUUGGGAAAUUCCUCUCUAUAGACAGCUUCAGCUUGUUCUAAAAUUAACACAACUUCCUACUGACCUGAAAUGUACCUGCAAGCAAAGGAUGUCAUCAAGGAAUUUUAAUAACAAACAUACAAUUUUAGCAAUAAAAAGGUUUUAGCAAUUGUCAUUUUAAAAGCUUAGUGACUGAUUAUAAUUUAUUUGCAUUAAAAGGUCCCAGCUUUGGCACUUGGUGAUGCAAUAGAUAAUACUAAAGAUGUAAUGACUUGGCUUUAACAAAAUAUCUAUUGUAUCAUUUUAAGAAAGUCAAGAUGGAAUAUAUUAAGGUGCACUGAAAUUGCUGUACAAGGAUAGCUAUUGUCAAUGCCCUUCAAAGACUCCCCAGGAACACAGCUGCUGUUAAACAGGUCAGAUUUAUUGUUCUUUCUGUAAGGGUGAAUGCUUAGUGAACAGCCAGGCAACUCAGUAAGAAGGUCUUCCAAAGAAACUAUUAUAAGAUUUGGGGUAAGAUUGGGUGAUUUGGGGGAAGGUCUAAAAAGGCAAGGAUUCAUUUGACAAUAAAUGAAGUCAAAAAGCAAUCACAUUUUAUGACCGGAUAAAAUAAAAAAAAAGAAGUAGCUACCAUUUAUUUAGUGAGAGAAUAGGGCAUCUGCUAUUUUGUGGGUUGCAAGCACCUAGCUUUUGUUUGUGCUUAGACAAACAUGGAAAGUGUUUUUUGCUUGUCUCAUUUUGCCAUGGUUCUAGACUUUGUCUGAUGUUGGGAUUCUCUGAAGCUGUAUGUGUAACAGGAGUUAUCGCAUGGCUUAGUUGUGAGUGCCAUGUCAGCUUAUAGCAAAUAGUGAUUAAGAAAAAUGUCUAUUAGAGUAACUCUAGAUAAUGUUAAGAAAUUUAAAUAUUAAUUUUUAAUUAUUAGAUCUUUUAAAAAAAUUAACAAUUCCUUUCUCACUCUUCAAAUGACUUGAAAACAUUUUUCAAAAAUGAUAUGUGAUAGAGUUCUCUGGUGACUGUCACUGCUGUGGCUUGGCUUGCUGCUGUGGCAUGGGUUUGAUGUCUGGCCUAGGAAUGUUGGCAUGCGACAGGCACAGCCAAAAAAAAAAAAAAAAAGAUACCUGAGAUAAAUUAAUGAGAAACAGAUGUCGCUCAAAUUAGACUUUCUUGUCAGCAAAGACAGAAAUAAAAGCAAAAUAAAUUAUAUAUUUUCAUCAUAUAAAAGGAGAGAAAAAAAUGUCACUGGUAAUCUUAUGCUUUUCUCUCCAGAACUAUUCUUUACCCUGGUUCCAUGUCCCCCAGGAAACUGGCUGGAAGCUUGCCCUCUGUUGCCCUCUGUCUUCCAUGUAAUAUCCAUUAAUGGACAGAAGGAGAUCAGUAUGUGGGAGAAAGUGAGGUCAGAGUGUUUACUUAGGCUUUGUUUUCUCCUGGAUGUGUCCCAGGAUCCAGAGGAACAAACAGCAGCUGGCAGAUUGCCAACCUCAUGAGCUCUUUUUUUUUUUUUUUUAAAUUGCUAUUCCCCCCACACACACUUUUUUUUUUUUUU